UCUCGGCUCUAGGCUCUGGAGUCCCGGGAGCAGUGAGGGGCCACCCGGGGCACAGGAAAGGGCCGCUAGGGGAGGGCCGGGUGCACUCGGGGUGUCUGGGCCGCGGGUCUGAGGGAUGAGGAGGGGCCAUGGCCAGCGACGGGGCCAGGAAGCAAUUCUGGAAGCGCAGCAACAGCAAGCUCCCGGGCAGCAUCCAGCACGUGUAUGGUGCCCAGCACCCCCCCUUUGAUCCACUGUUACAUGGCACGCAUUCCUCAGGGAGGAGACUGGUUUCUCAUUCAGCCACACUGAUCAAGCAGUCGCUUUGUGUGAGAUACUGUGCACCCCGUGCUGCGCAUCCCGUUUGCUCAGGUCCACGGCCAAGAUGCCGACCACACCAGUGAAGGCCAAGAGGGUCAGCACCUUCCAGGAGUUUGAGAGCAAUACCAGCGAUGCCUGGGACGCUGGGGAGGACGACGAUGAGCUCCUGGCCAUGGCGGCGGAGAGCCUGAACUCCGAGGUGGUCAUGGAGAC
rnacentral:lncRNA from 1 species